GUGUCAGCCGCCGCGGUAAUACGUAGGCAGCAAGCGUUGUUCGGAGUUACUGGGCGUAAAGGGUGUGUAGGCGGUUCCUUAAGUUUGGUGUGAAAUCUCCCGGCUCAACCGGGAGGGUGCGCCGAAUACUGAGGAGCUAGAGUGCGGGAGAGGAAAGUGGAAUUCCUGGUGUAGCGGUGAAAUGCGUAGAUAUCAGGAGGAACACCGGUGGUGUAAACGGCUUUCUGGACCGUAACUGACGCUGAGACACGAAAGCGUGGGUAGCAAACAGGAUUAGAUACCCCGGUAGUCC
rnacentral:rRNA from 1 species